rnacentral:rRNA from 1 species
GACGAACGCUGGCGGCGUGCCUAAUACAUGCAAGUCGUGCGGACCUUUUAAAAGCUUGCUUUUCUAAUGUUAGCGGCGGACGGGUGAGUAACACGUGGGCAACCUGCCUGUAAGACUGGGAUAACUCCGGGAAACCGUGGCUAAUACCGGAUCGUUUUUCCUCCGCCUUGGUUAAAAAGUAAAGGCGGCUUCUGCUGCCACUUACAGAUGGGCCCGCGGCGCAUUAGCUAGUUGGUGGGGUAACGGCCCACCAAGGCAACGAUGCGUAGCCGACCUGAGAGGGGGGUCGGCCAAAACGGGAAUGAGAAACGGGCCAAAACUCUAAGGGAGGGAGGAGGAGGGAAAUCUCCGGAAAGGAGGAAAGGCUGGAGGAGGAAAGGCGGGGGAGGGGAGGAGGGUCUCGGGUCGGAAAAACCUGGUGACGGGGAAGAAAAAGAGGCGUUAGAACAGGGGGGCGUCUUGACGGUACCUGGCCAGAAAGCCACGGCUAACUACGUG